GGGUAUGUUAAUAGCAUACUCAUUUGACGUUUAGCUGCAGAAGAAGCACCGGCUAACUCCGUGCCAGCAGCCGCGGUAAUACGGAGGGUGCGAGCGUUAAUCGGAAUUACUGGGCGUAAAGCGCAUGCAGGUGGUUGUUAAGUCAGAUGUGAAAGCCCGGGGCUCAACCUCGGAAUUGCAUUUGAAACUGGCAAACUAGAGUACUGUAGAGGGGGUAGAAUUUCAGGUGUAGCGGUGAAAUGCGUAGAGAUCUGAAGGAAUACCGGUGGCGAAGGCGGCCCCCUGGACAGAUACUGACACUCAGAUGCGAAAGCGUGGGGAGCAAACAGGAUUAGAUACCCUGGUAG
rnacentral:rRNA from 1 species